UAGCUGGUAGGAGAAGUUCAG
rnacentral:miRNA from 1 species